UACGAAGGGGGCUAGCGUUGCGCGGAAGCACUGGGCGUAAAGGGCGCGUAGGCGGCGGUUUAAGUCGGGGGGGAAAGCCUGUGGCUCAACCACAGAAUGGCCUUCGAUACUGGGACGCUUGAGUAUGGUAGAGGUUGGGGGAACUGCGAGUGUAGAGGUGAAAUUCGUAGAUAUUCGCAAGAACACCGGUGGCGAAGGCGGCCAACUGGACCAUUACUGACGCUGAGGCGCGAAAGCGUGGGGAGCAAACAGG
rnacentral:rRNA from 1 species